AACGCACAUUGCGCCCUGUGGUAUUCCGCAGGGCAUGCCUGUUCGAGCGUCAUUUAGACCACUCACGCCUGGCGUGGUAUUGGGGCACGCGGUUCCGCGGCCCUCAAAAUCAGUGGCGGCGCCGGUAGGCCCUAAGCGUAGUAAAUCUCCUCGCUAUAGGGUCCUCUCGGUGGCUCGCCAGAACCCCCAACUUCUCAAGGUUGACCUCGGAUCAGGUAGGGAUACCCGCUGAACUUAA
rnacentral:misc_RNA from 1 species